UCCAGCAAGAAGUCAGGUUUGCUAUUUUUUCUCUUAUUUUAAGAGAUGCUUCCUGUCAUGGAAAUGUAUAUGAGACCCAAUACUAAAUGAUAAUGCCAGUUUCCAUGGGUAGGAAUGCAGUAUUCAAUGAGAGCUUCAUAUUCAUCAACACAUGGAUACAAUAUACCACAUCAGCCAUGUCUACAUUAGUUGUGAUGAAAUGGUCAAGUUGGCAAAGGAAGCUGAAAUUUUGGCUGCUCAAGAUUCUUAUGAGAGGCACAAGAAAGCUUCUGAGCUAGGCAAAUGAAUCCUGGGAGUUGUGUGCUGGGAGCAGAGGUUGUAGGAGUGAUAUGACCUCCCCUGGCAUCCUUGCGUCUUGCUCUGGUUGCCCUUUGCCCGCAGGGUGGUUGCUGCUAGAGUUGAAGACCACCCGUUGCUCGUAGUUGCAGGUGGUGCUGGAGUUGAAGACCACAAGAACGAGGGCAGCGUACCGGCAGACGGACAGAUGGCUCCCGCACUGAGACCAAAGUGGUGGAGAAGGGAGUCAAGAUAUGUGGUGUGCAUGUAGCUAGCUAGAAUAAACAUUGUUGUACAUGUUCCCUUUCUAUUGGUGUCAUUGUUGUACAUGUAGCUAGAUUGAAUAAACAUGAUCCGGAGAGGUAAGCAUGAUCUAGAAUAAACAUUUUUGUACAUUGGUGAUAGAUGGCAAUCUCAAGAUUUAUUUGACGAUGAGUUGGUUGAAAAA